rnacentral:rRNA from 1 species
UGGGGAAUCUUCCGCAAUGGGCGAAAGCCUGACGGAGCAACGCCGCGUGAGUGAAGACGGCCUUCGGGUUGUAAAGCUCUGUUAUAUGGGACGAACGGGUGUAUGGUCAAUACCCAUACGCCGUGACGGUACCGUAAGAGAAAGCCACGGCUAACUACGUGCCAGCAGCCGCGGUAAUACGUAGGUGGCAAGCGUUGUCCGGAAUCAUUGGGCGUAAAGGGCGCGCAGGCGGUUCGGUAAGUCGGUCUUAAAAGUGCGGGGCUUAACCCCGUGAUGGGAUUGAAACUGCCGGACUGGAGUGUCGGAGAGGAAAGCAGAAUUCCUAGUGUAGCGGUGAAAUGCGUAGAUAUUAGGAGGAAUACCAGUGGCGAAAGCGGCUUUCUGGACGACAACUGACGCUGAGGCGCGAAAGCCAGGGGAGCAAACGGGAUUAGAUACCCCGGUAGUCCUGGCCGUAAACGAUGGAUACUAGGUGUAGGGAGGUAUCGACCCCUUCUGUGCCGGAGUUAACGCAAUAAGUAUCCCGCCUGGGGAGUACGGCCGCAAGGUUGAAACUCUAAA